UCGUAGGGUGCAGCGUUGUCCGGAAUUAUUGGGCGUAAAGGGCUCGUAGGCGGUUUGUCGCGUCGGGAGUGAAAACACCGGGCUUAACUCGGUGCUUGCUUCCGAUACGGGCAGACUAGAGGCAUGCAGGGGAGAACGGAAUUCCUGGUGUAGCGGUGAAAUGCGCAGAUAUCAGGAGGAACACCGGUGGCGAAGGCGGUUCUCUGGGCAUGUCCUGACGCUGAGGAGCGAAAGUGUGGGGAGCGAACAGG
rnacentral:rRNA from 1 species